rnacentral:rRNA from 1 species
UACGAAGGGGGCGAGCGUUGUUCGGAAUCACUGGGCGUAAAGGGCGCGUAGGCGGCCCUCUUAGUCGCGUGUGAAAGCCCCGGGCUCAACCUGGGAACGGCGCGCGAAACGGGAGGGCUGGAGUUCGGGAGAGGAGAGUGGAAUUCCCAGUGUAGAGGUGAAAUUCGUAGAUAUUGGGAAGAACACCGGUGGCGAAGGCGGCUCUCUGGACCGAGACUGACGCUGAGGGCGACGAAAGCGGUGGGGAGCAAACAGG